rnacentral:misc_RNA from 1 species
GAUGAAGAACGCAGCAAAAUGCGAUAAGUAAUGUGAAUUGCAGAAUUCAGUGAAUCAUCGAAUCUUUGAACGCACAUUGCGCCCCCUGGCAUUCCGGGGGGCAUGCCUGUCCGAGCGUCAUUUCUGCCCUCAAGCACGGCUUGUGUGUUGGGUGUGGUCCCCCCGGGGACCUGCCCGAAAGGCAGCGGCGACGUCCGUCUGGUCCUCGAGCGUAUGGGGCUCUGUCACUCGCUCGGGAAGGACCUGCGGGGGUUGGUCACCACUAUAUUUUACCACGGUUGACCUCGGAUCAGGUAGGAGUUACCCGCUGAACUUAAGCAUAUCAAUAAGCGAGGA